rnacentral:rRNA from 1 species
CAGGUGCUGCAUGGCUGUCGUCAGCUCGUGCCGUGAGGUGUCGGGUUAAGUCCCGUAACGACGCGCAACCCUUGUCCUUAGUUACCAGGCACGUUAUGGUGGGCACUCUAAGGAGACUGCCGGUGACAAACCGGAGGAAGGUGGGGAGUGACGUCAAGUCAUCAUGGCCCUUACGGCCUGGGCUACACACGUGCUACAAUGGUCGGUACAAAGGGUUGCCAAGCCGCCGAGGUGGGAGCUAAUCCCAAUAAAACCGAUCGUAGUCCGGAUCGCAGUCUGCAACUCGACUGCGUGAAGUCGGAAUCGCUAGUAAUCGUGAAUCAGAAUGUCACGGUGAAUACGUUCCCGGGCCUU